AGAGUUUGAUCCUGGCUCAGGACGAACGCUGGCGGCGUGCCUAAUACAUGCAAGUCGAGCGGACUUCAGGGAGCUUGCUCCCUGAUAUCAGCGGCGGACGGGUGAGUAACACGUGGGCAACCUGCCUGUAAGACUGGGAUAACUUCGGGAAACCGGAGCUAAUACCGGAUAAUCCUUUUCCUCUCAUGAGGGAAAGCUGAAAGACGGCGUAAGCUGUCACUUACAGAUGGGCCCGCGGCGCAUUAGCUAGUUGGUGAGGUAACGGCUCACCAAGGCUACGAUCGGUAGCCGGCCUGAGAGGGCACACGGCCACACUGGCACUGAAACACGGGCCAGACUCCUACGGGAGGCAGCAGUGGGGAAUCUUGCACAAUGGGGGCAACCCUGAUGCAGCGACGCCGCGUGAGCGAUGAAGCCCUUCGGGGUGUAAAGCUCUUUCGGCAGGGAAGAUGAUGACGGUACCUGCAGAAGCAGCUGCGGCUAACUACGUGCCAGCAGCCGCGGUAAUACGUAGGCAGCAAGCGUUGUUCGGAGUUACUGGGCGUAAAGGGUGUGUAGGCGGUUCUCUAAGUCUGGUGUGAAAUCUCCCGGCUCAACUGGGAGGGUGCGCCGAAAACUGGAGGGCUAGAGUGCGGGAUGGGAGAGUGGAAUUCCUGGUGUAGCGGUGAAAUGCGUAGAUAUCACGAGGAACACCAGUGGCGAAGGCGGCUCACUGGCCCGAUACUGACGCUGAGGCACGAAAGCGUGGGGAGCAAACAGGAUUAGAUACCCUGGUAGUCC
rnacentral:rRNA from 1 species